rnacentral:rRNA from 2 species
GCAGUCGAACGAGUUCUCGUUGAUGAUCGGUGCUUGCACCGAGAUUCAACAUGGAACGAGUGGCGGACGGGUGAGUAACACGUGGGUAACCUGCCCUUAAGUGGGGGAUAACAUUUGGAAACAGAUGCUAAUACCGCAUAGAUCCAAGAACCGCAUGGUUCUUGGCUGAAAGAUGGCGUAAGCUAUCGCUUUUGGAUGGACCCGCGGCGUAUUAGCUAGUUGGUGAGGUAAUGGCUCACCAAGGCGAUGAUACGUAGCCGAACUGAGAGGUUGAUCGGCCACAUUGGGACUGAGACACGGCCCAAACUCCUACGGGAGGCAGCAGUAGGGAAUCUUCCACAAUGGACGCAAGUCUGAUGGAGCAACGCCGCGUGAGUGAAGAAGGCUUUCGGGUCGUAAAACUCUGUUGUUGGAGAAGAAUGGUCGGCAGAGUAACUGUUGUCGGCGUGACGGUAUCCAACCAGAAAGCCACGGCUAACUACGUGCCAGCAGCCGCGGUAAUACGUAGGUGGCAAGCGUUAUCCGGAUUUAUUGGGCGUAAAGCGAGCGCAGGCGGUUUUUUAAGUCUGAUGUGAAAGCCCUCGGCUUAACCGAGGAAGCGCAUCGGAAACUGGGAAACUUGAGUGCAGAAGAGGA